CAUGAGUGCUAAAGAUUAGUUGCCUGCGGAGACUUUCCUGGCAGAUUUCCCUUUCCUUCUCGUUUUAUUUAUUUUUUUGUUUGUUUGUUCAUUUUUAUAAGAUUGGUGACUCAGUGUGCACUCCAACCCUACGAAAUCAUCGGCAAGUUGUGCAGAGAGAAAACAUUAUCAGGUGAAGAAUGUGAUUAAGUGUGAAUACCGAUACAAUACAUUCAUUCACUCACUAUGUGUCAAAUAUCCGGACUGCUCCAGACAAAAUUUCAUUUCAUAAACGUAGGCCCAGACAAUAGAUUUGACAACAAAUAUUUUUUUGCAAAGAACAACGAAGGACACGGGUAACAAAAAAAAAAACAAGAAAAAGGGGGGGAAUAACAAAAACAUUUGGGAAACGGCAAGGAAUGAGAAAAACAUAAAUCGCUUGUCAAACUCAAAGGAUAAGGAAAUCCAAUACGCGAAAAUACAAAACUCACAAAACACUAAAACAUAUCAAACAUGUGAAAAACAUGGCGAGAAUCUAUGAGGCAAAUUGUCAAGAACAUCUAGAAAAUUAAGCAGUUUUAAUGUUUGUGUUGGUUUUUUAAUUUUUUUUUGUACAAAAAAAAAAGUACAGGCGGAUAUCUGGAGAAUGUUUGGUGAACCAUGAUAAAAAUGCGACAUCCGCUGCCUUCGCAAACACUCGCAAACGGAACCCCGACAACGACAACAAAACAACAUUCGCUACAUGAGCAGAUACUGCUUCUUGCUACCAUGUGUGGAAAACGAGAAUGAAAUCCAGCAGAAGCAAUGGGAAGAAGGUAAUGAGGCAUGGCCACCACCUGCAAAACCAUACUGUAAGAGGUUUUGUUUUUUUUUUCUUCCUGGGUGUUGUCUUGGUCCUAAUUAUCUCUCGUUUCCUCGCGUUGUCUCUCCCAUAUGCACAAAAGAAAUUCCUCAGAUUCACACCAUUAAUGCUCACAAAUUGGACAGGUUGAUAUGUUUAUUCUUCGGAAUAGCGCAGUUGAGUUUUCAACUUGCUCAUCUGAUUGCCCCCUUAAUGGCUGCACCAGACAGAACGCUUGUCCAAAUACUUGAUACCUUUUAAGAUAGUCAUUGUCACGCUCAAUCUUAGAUGAAAUAUCACUUCAAUUCAGUCUCCUCUCUUUUGUGUGCCAGCCCUUUGGCAAAUUCACAUUUUAGGAACCAAUUGCUCACCAUCUCGCAGCUGUCAGCUGCUACGUGAUUCACAUUUUUGAGAGGUAGUGCUGACUCACAGCCUGGGACAUCGUGGUGUGCAACUUAACCCAAACAAAUACAUCUGUACUGGAAAGAUAUACUUCAGUGUCUACAGUCCAUGACGUCUAUCGACACUACACAAUGUCUGACUUAUUAUCUGGCCCUCGGCUCAUACCUUGUGAAACCUUUACAUUGACAAUAACCUGCCUUCCAAACAAAGCUGAUGUCUUCAUAACGCAAACCAAAUGACAAAUGAACUGAUCCUGCCGGAAAGAAAACUUUUAGUCAUGAUGGCCACAGCUCAGGGACUUUAUGCCAUCAAUGAACAUAUGUCAGGAUAUUGCAGCAACUAUAAGCUCCAGGCCAAACAACACUUGUGUCAGAAAAGCUCAAUAACGUUGGACCGAUAGAGGUGUGCAGAGGUUCGUAUAUAUAUAUAUUAACUACAAGCACGUUCCGCUUCACCUGCAGUAUGUGCUUAAGUGGUGCUCGUUGGACUGUAUAUGGCAAUUCUCUCUAAGGUUUUGCUCGUCAGCCCUCGACCGCCCAACAUGACUUCCUAUAGUUUCUGCAGAAAGAUAACCUGGCUCCAAGUUGGCUGUGUACUAAUUGCUUUCUUGAAAUCAGUCAUCAGAUGCAUGCCAAUUGACUUGCUGUCAAAGGGUUCAAAAUCCUAGCAGUCAACGCUGACCCUUAAUGUAGUUAGAAUACAAGGUGGACCAAACGUGAAAGGGG